rnacentral:lncRNA from 1 species
AGAAACUGCUAUGUUUAUACUGAGGGUUAAUCCAGCCUCCAGAGCCUCUAGUGGCUGUCUCAUUGACAGCCGCUAGAGGCGCUUGCGUGCUUCUCACUGUGAAAAUCACAGUGAGAGCACGCAAGCGUCCAUAGGAAAGCAUUGUAAAUGCUUUCCUAUGCGACCGGCUGAAUGCACGUGCGCAUUCAGCCGAUGACGUCGCGAGCAAGGAG